UGGGGAAUAUUGCGCAAUGGGCGAAAGCCUGACGCAGCAACGCCGCGUGAGUGAUGAAGGCCUUCGGGUCGUAAAGCUCUGUCGGAGGGAACGAAUGCUCCUGAAGUUAACAGCCUCAGGAGGUGACGGUACCCUCAAAGGAAGCACCGGCUAACUCUGUGCCAGCAGCCGCGGUAAUACAGAGGGUGCAAGCGUUGUUCGGAUUUACUGGGCGUAAAGGGCGCGUAGGCGGCAAUUCAAGUCAUCUGUGAAAUCUCCGGGCUUAACUCGGAACGGUCAGAUGAUACUGCUUUGCUAGAGUGCAGAAGGGGCAAUCGGAAUUCUUGGUGUAGCGGUGAAAUGCGUAGAUAUCAAGAGGAACACCUGAGGUGAAGACGGGUUGCUGGGCUGACACUGACGCUGGGGCGCGAAAGCCAGGGGAGCAAACGGGAUUAGAUACCCGAUGUAGUCCCUGAGCGGGCUGGCAAGGCGCAU
rnacentral:rRNA from 1 species